rnacentral:sRNA from 1 species
UGACUGUGAUGGGGCUGAGCUCAGAUGGGUCUGGGACCUUUUAUAUGAUCUGGAAUUUAAUACAUUGGGAAACAAGCUUUCUGAAAUAGUUUAUCAUAAGUAAAAUAUUGGUUGUGUGUGUGUGUGUGUGUGUGUGUGUGUGUCACUUUUGCUCAGAAAAGCAUUGCCUUAUGGCAUUGAAGACAGUCAA